UACGUAGGGGGGCUAGCGUUGUUCGGAAUCAUUGGGCGUAAAGGGCGCGUAGGUGGUUCUGUAUGUCUACCGUGAAAGCGUACGGCUCAACCGUAUUUUGUCGGUAGAAACUGCCGUGACUCGAGUCCGGUAGGGGAGUGUGGAAUUCCCGGUGUAGCGGUGAAAUGCGCAGAUAUCGGGAGGAACACCAGUGGCGAAGGCGGCACUCUGGGGCCGGUACUGACGCUGAGGAGCGAAAGCGUGGGGAGCGAAACAGG
rnacentral:rRNA from 1 species